rnacentral:rRNA from 1 species
UACGUAGGGGGGCAAGCGUUGUCCGGAUUUAUUGGGCGUAAAGAGCGUGUAGGCGGCCUUACAGGUCAGCUGUGAAAACUCGAGGCUCAACCUCGAGACGUCGGUUGAAAACCGUAAGGCUAGAGUCCGGAAGAGGAGAGUGGAAUUCCCCGGUGUAGCGGUGAAAUGCGCAGAUAUCGGGAAGAACACCCGUGGCGAAGGCGGCUCUCUGGGACGGUACUGACGCUGAGACGCGAAAGCGUGGGGAGCGAACAGG